UCUGUGGUCAUACUAUGCUGAACGAGCCUGAUCUCGUCUGAUCUCGGAAGCUAAGCAGGCUGGGGUCUGAUUACUACUUGGAUGGGAGAUUUUAAUGUGACAUCUCAUGAU
rnacentral:rRNA from 1 species